UGCCAUUAACUGUCAGAAACUUUGGAAGUCUAGCAAAAUGUUCCUGAAUGAUUCUUUACAAAUGUCUCUUGUCUGUUUCUUUCCAUUUCCCAUUCCCACCAUUCCUCUAAAUAUUCCCAAUUCUCUUCUCAUUUCUCCUUUUCAGGGGCAAACCCAUGAGGAACACCACCUUCAUGCCUGUCCCCACAAUGUGACUGCUGUCCACCCCACAGCUGAGGUUCAAGAGUGGAGAUAUAUGAUCUGCAGUAGAUGA
rnacentral:lncRNA from 1 species